rnacentral:rRNA from 1 species
AACCCCUAGUAAAGUGGCGUACGGGUGAGUAACACGUAGGUCAUCUACCCUAAAGUCUGGAAUAACCGGCCGAAAGGCUGGCUAAUACUGGAUAGAGCGACGGAAUCCGUAAUGGGUUUUUCGGGAAAGGGAGCCUGUAAGGGCCCUCGCUUUAGGAUGAGCCUGCGUCCCAUCAGCUAGUUGGUAAGGUAAUGGCUUACCAAGGCAAUGACGGGUAGCUGGUCUGAGAGGAUGAUCAGCCACACUGGAACUGAAACACGGUCCAGACUCCUACGGGAGGCAGCAGUGGGGAAUUGUUCACAAUGGGCGCAAGCCUGAUGACGCAACGCCGCGUGGGGGAUGAAGGUCUUCGGAUUGUAAACCCCUGUCGAACGGGACGAAAGACCCGGGAGCUAAUCAUCCCGGGAGUGACGGUACCGUUAAAGGAAGCCACGGCUAACUCUGUGCCAGCAGCCGCGGUAA